rnacentral:lncRNA from 1 species
CUUAUUUAGUGCUUCCAUGUGUCAGAGACUAUCCUAAGAACCUUACCUAUAAUAUCUAAAUAAAUUCUUCCUACAAUUCAAUAAUGGAAAUACUAUCCACAUGUUACUGUUAAAGGAACUAUGCUCCAUGUCACAUGCCAUUUAAGUAGAAGUGUCAAAAUUCAAAUACUCAUCUGACUCCAAAGUCUUUGCCCUAAAACACUAUUCUUUAUUCUACCUAUUAGUAUGGACCUCAUAGCUUAUCAUACUCACACAUCUUGCUUCCCUCUAAUGUCAACUGACCUAUUUACGACCUUUCAAGGCAGCUACUCUUCCUCUUGGCUCUCCUUAGCACAUCUUUAAGUUGUGAAUCUGCUGUGAACAGGUCAACUUUCUCAACUCAAGUCUAAUAAUGAGAUUGUGAUUGGUCCAGCUCUUCUGUGUCUGAGCAAGGAUUUUGCACACUCAUAACCUGAUGAUCACCCGUGGUCAGAGUCAAGAAGAGGCCCAGUGGGGACAAUUUUGGAGGUCAGCCCAGGCUGAAGUGGAUGGCCAAUUGACACCAAGCGGAACGAUGGACAACCAUGUUAAUAGAUCUCCUGAUUUUCCAAGAGAAGUUAGAAAUUUCUAUUUUUAUAUGAAAUCUCCUGUUUUUAAACGUUGGCAACUGAUUCAAAAUAAUUUUAAACACUUUGAAAGAUAAAUAAAAUGUGUCUGCAGGCAGCCCAGUUUGUGACCUCUUCUUCUAGAAGUCCCCUAGAGAAGACUUAGCAAUAAUUACUCUUCGGAGCCUCCCCAACUUUACCCCAUUCUCACCUCCACCCCUCCCUCAUUAACUCCCUCCCUAAUUAACUGUUCUUUGACCUCAGUUACUAAAGCAAUUUAUAUGUAUGUCUG